rnacentral:rRNA from 1 species
AUUUAUAGCCAUAUCACUCUGAAUGCACCCAAUCUUGUCUGCUCUUGGAAGGUAAAUGAAUUUCAGUCUUUGAAUUUGAUCAUUGUUCUACAUC